rfam:Brassica napus, WGS project CCCW01000000 data, contig: 15974
AGGUGCGAUUAUAUCAUCACUAAUGCACUUAAUCCCAUCGAAUUUUUGCAUUAAACAUGCUUGGGCAAGAGUAAUAGACAUCCCAGAAAGUUCUGGUGUUGCACCUC